GAUGAACGCUAGCGGCAGGGCUUAAUACAUGCAAGUCGAACGGUAACAGGUCCAGCAAUGGAUGCUGACGAGUGGCGUACGGGUGCGUAACACGUGUGCAACUUACCUUUAACAGGAGAAUAGCUCCGAGAAAUUGGAAUUAAUACUCCAUAACAUUAUGAAACGGCAUCGUUUUAUAAUUAAAGCUCCGGUGGUUAAAGAUGGGCACGCGAAACAUUAGCUGGUUGGAGAGGUAACGGCUCACCAAGGCUACGAUGUUUAGGGGUUCUGAGAGGAUUAACCCCCACACUGGUACUGAGACACGGACCAGACUCCUACGGGAGGCAGCAGUAAGGAAUAUUGGUCAAUGGACGCAAGUCUGAACCAGCCAUGCCGCGUGAAGGAUGACAGCCCUAUGGGUCUGUAAACUUAGCUUUUAUACAGGAAAAACCUUCCGACGUGUCGGGAGCUGAUGGUACUGUAAGAAUAAGGAUCGGCUAACUCCGUGCCAGCAGCCGCGGUAAUACGGAGGAUCCAAGCGUUAUCCGGAUUUAUUGGGUUUAAAGGGUGCGUAGGCGGAUUGGUAAGUCAGUGGUGAAAUCCUACAGCUUACUGUAGAACUGCCAUUGAUACUAUCA
rnacentral:rRNA from 1 species